AAUCUCUCUUUCAUAUUCUGAGUUUCAACAUAUGAAAUGUCUAGAACUCACCAGACAAGUGGCUUGUUUUUAGUUUUACAUCGGCGGUGAGUUCUUCUUCUUCCUCUUUCUUAAUUUUUUUACUUAGUUUCUUAUUAUAGUCUUCUUUCUCUCUUUAAUAUAGAAAAUCUUUUACCUUUUAGUUCACUGAAAUUGGAUUUUUUAUGUGAUAAGAAUUGUUAAAGUACCACUGUAUCCUUAUACUAUUGUUCAAUGGAGUCUAUUUAGAUUUUGAAUUACUGGUGGUUUAUGCUGAGGUACUUAGAGAAGUGCUUCUCAGUUGUCAUAUCUACUCUCAAGUCUCAACCGGUGUUCCAGUUACAGACCCGCGGAGAUUAACGACAUCCUGAAUGAUUUUAAUGAGCCCGGUUCACUUGCUCCAACUGGCCUGCAUCUUGGUGGCACAAAGUACAUGCUCAUUCAAGGGGAAGCAGGGGUCGUCGCUUGAAUAAAGAAGGAUGCCUGACGAAACUUGUGAUUGAGGACUACAGUUUAUGUAGCAAAUGACCUUCUCACGUGGUCUAAUCAGGUUGGUUGUUUGAAUUGGAUAAUGCUUUGAGCUCACUACAUAUUACUCCCUCCGUCCCAAAAAGAUAGUCCUGUUUUGUCUUGGCACAGAGUUUAAUUUUUGGUAGAAGACUUUUGCCAUAUCAUACAAAACAAAGUUCCAAUUAUACCCUCGAGGGCCCACUGAUCAGCUUUGAAUGGAAAACACGUUAAAAUAAAAGCAUAAUCAAAAAAGGUCUGAUAAUUCCAUCUUCUCUCUCCACUUAUUCACUCCCAUGUGAGGGCUUUUCCAUAUCAAUAGUAAAGUUUUCACCAUAAGCCUUUGACCAAGUCAAAAUAAAAACUCUUCCUUUCAACUCUCUCUUUCUGCGGACGAAGUGAAUUGUAGAACAACAUUUCUAUGGAUUUCUCAGCAACCAGGUUUGUCAAAAAAAAUCUUAUGUGAAUUUUUAUUCUAGAGCUGGUGCAUAUUUUCAAAUUCCAAUUUUUAUUUAAAUCAGUCAUAUUGAUGGGAUGAUUUCAGAAUUUCUUUUCCUGAAAUUUAACAGCUUUUGAUUCCUGAUAUUAGGUGGGUAAAAAUUUGGUUCUAGAGCCAAGAAUUUUCAUUUUAUACACAAAUAGUGAGAUGAAAUACCUUUC